UUUACCGUGUUGACAAGGCUGGUCUUGGACUCCUGACCUCAAGUGAUCCACCCACCUCAGCCUCCCACAGUGCUGGGAUGACAGGUGUGAGCCACCCCGCCCAAAUUCUUUCUUAGGCAAAGCCAAGAACUCUCCUGGGCUAUGCCCCAAUCUGGGAGUUCACCUUCCCCGCAUCAUCUAGCGACCAAGGAAAGGAUGAUGAAGACAGCGAGAGGCAGAGAGACUUUCAGCUGAGGCAGGGACAAUUAGCAGAGAGGCGAGAUGGCUGGACAGCAAAGAUGGUGACAGUCAGCGAUCCGCGGAGGGGUGGCAAUGGGUGAGAGACACGGAGAGGUGGCACUGGGCAAGACAGCGAGAGGUUGCUGAGACAGGUGGAGAGACAGCGAGGACAGGGCAGUCUGUGAUCAGGGCUCCAAGAGCGGUCACACUGAGGCCAUAACGAUAAACAGCUGCUAAAGCUGCAGAGCUGUCAUACUAAGCAGAGGCUUUACUCUUGGCGCUUUCAUCUUUCCCUGGCUGGUGGUGGAGCUCAGCGAGGGACAAGCAGCUCUUACGACUUAGAUCUCAGCAGUCAGAACAGACCAAGCUUUCACUGCUGAUGAACCGAGUGCAAUGACAACUGUGAGAAGCUUUAGCUCUACAUCACAAUGGAUUGGGAGCAGGUACAAAGCCUAUGGGCUAUCAAAGCACUUUGACCUCUGAAGUAGCGGCCGCCAUCAUCACAGUCUGUGCGUCUGUGCAAAAGGGGCAUCUUAUCCCAGAGAUAAAGUUUUGGGACACCAUGAGGUCAUCUCCUUGCUGACAGCCCAGAACGACUGUGCGCCCCAACCCCGACAGCCCAGGGGUGGAGUAAGAGGGAGGCUCGUGGAGAACCUGGUAACCCCUUCUCCCUCCAUCACUGACUGAGGCAGAGAAGCACGAACAUCGUGAUGCCUGCUCUGGGGGCUCCAGCUGAGGGAGAGGGGACCACAGGGCCCUCCAAGACAGAGAGAUACACGGAUGUGGUCGCUCAGAGCCUGCUGCUGCCCGUCCAGGUCCCCACAGCUGUGGACCCACAGGAAGGGAAACUGCUUUUCCCUGGGCCUGGCUCUGGUUUUCCCUGGGUUGGGGGGGUGGCUCGGGAGGACCCCAGACCCUCUGGACACAUGAGCCUCUGCUCCCCUCCCCUGCCCCAGUCACUGUCACUGCUGCAGGUGGGAAAGGACAGGCCCCUAUGAUCGGGUCCUGGGAGGCUUCCCUGGGAGGUCUCCUCUCCCAGAAGGUCCCAGCUGGGAGUCAGAGCUGAAAGGAACUUUCCCACCUGGAGGCCUCUCGCCUUUACACUUGGAGAAACUGAGGCCCAGGCAUGGGAGGGGCCAAUCCAUGUCACCAUCACCAGAGGAGCCUCAAAGUGAUGACAGAACUCAGCCCUUCCCCGCCUGGACCCCGCCUACUUCCCACUCAAAGACCCUCACUCACCACUCUGGGGGCCUGACCCCAUGGGGGUGAGGGGCUGGUCCUCAGGGCCUGUUAGGUCAGGACAGGCAGGUGAGGGCUGGGGCUGCCCUGCUCCCCACGUCAGCCUGGCUGCUCCUUCCCCAGGCUGGGCCCCAACAUCUCCCUCUGCCUCGACCCCUGCCCUCACCAGCCCAGCUGAGCCCCUGGGAGCCUGUGGCCCCUUCUCUGGCUCUGGAGGGAAGCCCAUGCUUGAGUCCUUCAUGGGAAUGGGAUCCUCUGGGAGACUCAGGACUGCCCUGCCGGAGUCCACCCUCUCUCUGAACCCAGAGGCCUCAAUGACUCACCAGGUGUGGAGGAGCAGCCUGUGGGUUGGGGGCUGGGAUCCCUGGAGGUCCUGGAAUGAGCACAGAAAGGGACUGAGGAAUUGGAGCUAUCCUGCAGUCCCCACCUCCACUCAAAGCUCUCCCCUCCAUCUGCCCGGUGGCCUCUCCAAGACCUUCCCUCUUCCCACCUAAUAGCUUCUGGACUCCAGGUGAAGGAGAAGAGGGAGAAUCCCUGUUGGCUUCUUCUCCUCUGAGGGGCGAAUUCCUCUGUGGCUGAGCCUCCCUCAGAGCCCCCUUCACUCCAUCUCUGCCCAGAGCACUCCUGGGGGCAGGGCCUGAGCUGAACCUUCGAACUUAGAGAGGACAGGGUCAGGACCUUUCACCCAAGACCCACCCAAGACCACCAGCUCUGACUGGGCUGUGACAGCAGGUCAGGGGAGGUGCAGUCAUGUGAAUCUUGAAGCUGCCCAUGAAGGGAGUGUUUAUACCACAGUCAUCAACAAAUUCCACAAAUAAAUGCUUUUUAGAAAACGUUUUUGUCGUUGUUCAGGAAGCCAGUCUAUGGGCACAACAGCAGGCUUUUCCAUCAGACACCUCUCUUUUGAUUCCUAGUGACUGUAUUUCUAGAGAAACUAUAGAUGAAGAGUGACAGGUGGUAGGGCAUCACUUUGAACUUAUAUUUUGCAAAUGCAAAUCUGAUUUCUGCACAUGGAUUUAAUUAUCAAAAGCAAUUCCAUGUUAUGAGCUGAAGAGAUAUUCCCAGUAAUACACAUCAGAAAAUGCACUAGCUAGAAAUAAAGAAAGAUGUAUUACCUGAAAGUGGAGCAGAGUAUGAGGUCACAGAGGGGCGGACCC